rnacentral:rRNA from 1 species
UCUGGUUGAUCCUGCCAGUAGUCAUAUGCUUGUCUCAAAGAUUAAGCCAUGCAUGUCUAAGUAUAAGCAAUUUAUACAGUGAAACUGCGAAUGGCUCAUUAAAUCAGUUAUCGUUUAUUUGAUAGUUCCUUUACUACAUGGUAUAACUGUGGUAAUUCUAGAGCUAAUACAUGCUUAAAAUCUCGACCCUUUGGAAGAGAUGUAUUUAUUAGAUAAAAAAUCAAUGUCUUCGGACUCUUUGAUGAUUCAUAAUAACUUUUCGAAUCGCAUGGCCUUGUGCUGGCGAUGGUUCAUUCAAAUUUCUGCCCUAUCAACUUUCGAUGGUAGGAUAGUGGCCUACCAUGGUUUCAACGGGUAACGGGGAAUAAGGGUUCGAUUCCGGAGAGGGAGCCUGAGAAACGGCUACCACAUCCAAGGAAGGCAGCAGGCGCGCAAAUUACCCAAUCCUAAUUCAGGGAGGUAGUGACAAUAAAUAACGAUACAGGGCCCAUUCGGGUCUUGUUAUUGGAAUGAGUACAAUGUAAAUACCUUAACGAGGAACAAUUGGAGGGCAAGUCUGGUGCCAGCAGCCGCGGUAAUUCCAGCUCCAAUAGCGUAUAUUAAAGUUGUUGCAGUUAAAAAGCUCGUAGUUGAACUUUGGGCCCGGUUGGCCGGUCCGAUUUUUUCGUGUACUGGAUUUCCAACGGGGCCUUUCCUUCUGGCUAACCUUGAGUCCUUGUGGCUCUUGGCGAACCAGGACUUUUACUUUGAAAAAAUUAGAGUGUUCAAAGCAGGCGUAUUGCUCGAAUAUAUUAGCAUGGAAUAAUAGAAUAGGACGUUUGGUUCUAUUUUGUUGGUUUCUAGGACCAUCGUAAUGAUUAAUAGGGACGGUCGGGGGCAUCAGUAUUCAAUUGUCAGAGGUGAAAUUCUUGGAUUUAUUGAAGACUAACUACUGCGAAAGCAUUUGCCAAGGACGUUUUCAUUAAUCAAGA